rnacentral:rRNA from 1 species
UGGGUGGAAAGUUUUUCGGUCGGGGAUGGGCUCGCGGCCUAUCAGCUUGUUGGUGGGGUAACGGCCUACCAAGGCGAUUACGGGUAGCCGGCCUGAGAGGGCGACCGGCCACACUGGGACUGAGACACGGCCCAGACUCCUGCGGGAGGCAGCAGUGGGGAAUAUUGCGCAAUGGGCGAAAGCCUGACGCAGCGACGCCGCGUGGGGGAUGACGGCCUUCGGGUUGUAAACCUCUUUUACCACUCANGCAGGCUCCACGUUUUCGUGGGGUUGACGGUAGGUGGGGAAUAAGGACCGGCUAACUACGUGCCAGCAGCCGCGGUAAUACKUAGGGWCCGAGCGUUGUCCGGAAUUAUUGGGCGUAAAGAGCUCGUAGGCGGCGUGUCGCGUCUGCUGUGAAAGACCGGGGCUUAACCCCGGUUCUGCAGUGGAUACGGGCAUGCUAGAGGUAGGUAGGGGAGACUGGAAUUCCUGGUGUAGCGGUGAAAUGCGCAGAUAUCAGGAGGAACACCGGUGGCGAAGGCGGGUCUCUGGGCCUUACCUGACGCUGAGGAGCGAAAGCAUGGGGAGCGAACAGGAUUAGAUACCCUGGUAGUCCAUGCCGUAAACGUUGGGCGCUAGGUGUGGGGACUUUCCACGGUUUCCGCGCCGUAGCUAACGCAUUUAGCGCCCCGCCUGGGGAGUACGGCCGCAAGGCUAAAACUCAAAGGAAUUGACGGGGGCCCGCACAAGCGGCGGAGCAUGUUGCUUAAUUCGACGCAACGCGRAGAACCUUACCAAGGUUUGACAUCACCCGUGGACCUGCAGAGAUGUGGGGUCAUUUAGUUGGCGGGUGACAGGUGGUGCAUGGCUGUCGUCAGCUCGUGUCSUGAGAUGUUGGGUUAAGUCCCGCAACGAGCGCAACCCUUGUUCCAUGUUGCCAGCACGUAAUGGUGGGGACUCAUGGGAGACUGCCGGGGUCAACUCGGAGGAAGGUGGGGACGACGUCAAGUCAUCAUGCCCCUUAUGUCUUGGGCUGCAAACAUGCUACAAUGGCCGGUACAAUGGGCGUGCGAUACCGUGAGGUGGAGCGAAUCCCUAAAAGCCGGUCUCAGUUCGGAUUGGGGUCUGCAACUCGACCCCAUGAAGGUGGAGUCGCUAGUAAUCGCGGAUCAGCAACGCCGCGGUGAAUACGUUCCCGGGCCUUGUACACACCGCCCGUCACGUCAUGAAAGUCGGCAACACCCGAAACUUGUGGCCUAA